GACGGGGGGUCCAAGCGUUGUUCGGAAUCAUUGGGCGUAAAGCGGGUGCAGGCGGCUUUGUAAGUCAGGAGUGAAAGCCCUGGGCUCAACCCAGGAAGUGCUUUUGAUACUGCUUAGCUUGAGUGUGGGAGAGGAUAGUGGAAUUCCUGGUGUAGUGGUGAAAUACGUAGAGAUCAGGAGGAACACCGGCGGCGAAGGCGGCUAUCUGGCCCAACACUGACGCUCAGACCCGAAAGCGUGGGGAUCAAACAGG
rnacentral:rRNA from 1 species